UAAUCAUUAAUGCUUGCUACAAAGGAGCAAGGCUAAAGCCUGGGUUCACGCGCUGCUGAGAUAAUGAUGUGUGGCAGGUGAAUUCCGCACAGAGAAGCAAAUUCUCUGUUUAAAAAUAGAAAUGUGUGAAUUCGAAGAAAGUCUGACUACAGGAGCAAGACUGAGCCAAAGGCAUUGAGAGGAAAUUGGAAGAGUGCCAGGCAAAAACAGGCAACUUGAGGCCACAUUGACAGCAAUAGAACAGCUUAACAUCACCCUAACAGAAGCAGUUAAGACAGUGCAGGAGAAAGCUGAGAAGGCAGAGGAGAAACAGAACCAGAUAGUAUGCUGUCUGGCAACGGUACAACAGAAUAAGAGAGCAAAAUGGCGCAAUUGAUAUCCUCAAUCAUAUUGUGUGGCACUUUCACCAUGCUUUAACGGACAGUCUUCAAACAGAGCUAGCAACUCAAGAUUCAGCAUCCACAAAAUACUAUGAGUCAUCAGAAAGAGAUUGAGAGUUUAGUGGCUUGGUGUAAAGACAACAAUCUCUCCCUCCGAAUCAGCAAAACAAAGGAGCUGGUCAUCAACUUCAGAAAGUGGAGUGGAGGACACACCCCUGUCUGUAUCAAUGAUGCUGAGAUGGAGGUUGUUGAGAGCUUCAAAAUCCUAGUAGUAAAUAUCACCAAUAAUCUGCCCUGGUCCAUCCAUGUCAAUGCUACAGUCAAGAAAGCACAUCAACACCUCUACUUCCUCAGAAGGCUAAGGAAAUUCG